GACUUCUUAGCUCAGCGGUAGAGCGUGUGAUUCCAGUUUACCAUCCAUGUGAUCUGCUUCCACAAGGUCAUCCGUUCAAUCCGGGUAGAGGUCA